UAUAUCGUGAAACUGCGAAUGGCUCAUUAAAUCAGUUAUCGUUUAUUUGAUAGUACCUUACUACUUGGAUAACCGUGGUAAUUCUAGAGCUAAUACAUGCUAAAAACCUCGACUUCGGAAGGGGUGUAUUUAUUAGAUAAAAAACCAAUGCCCUUCGGGGCUCCCUGGUGAUUCAUAAUAACUUAACGAAUCGCAUGGCCUUGUGCCGGCGAUGGUUCAUUCAAAUUUCUGCCCUAUCAACUUUCGAUUGUUGGGUCUUGGCCAACAAUGGUUUCAACGGGUAACGGGGAAUUAGGGUUCUAUUCCGGAGAGGGAGCCUGAGAAACGGCUACCACAUCCAAGGAAGGCAGCAGGCGCGCAAAUUACCCAAUCCUGAUACAGGGAGGUAGUGACAAUAAAUACUGAUACAGGGCUCUUUUGGGUCUUGUAAUUGGAAUGAGUACAAUUUAAAUCCCUUAACGAGGAACAAUUGGAGGGCAAGUCUGGUGGAUCUCAGGUCCCAGGAACUUUCACGGUUCCUUCGCUGACGCCAGAAAUAGUUUAUUACUAGUCGCUAUGCACCCUAAGUCUUUGGGGGGUGCUGCGGCAAGACACCUGGAUCGGGGGAAGCUAAAAGCACACGCUUAUGCUAAUCCCGGGCUGAGUCGACGGUAGCAACCGUCGGCCAGUGUAGAGCGCGGUAAGGUGUCGGUUGCUCAGUCUGAGUAGCUUAAGGGACGUGCCAUUCCUCACGAAAGUGGUUUAUAACGUGAGCUCCCAAAGAGCUAAUGUUAUGAGGUGCGUUUUUACAUGCACGGGAAGCAAAUGUUGCAUUUGUGAUUAAAUGGCCAGCAGCCGCGGUAAUUCCAGCUCCAAUAGCGUAUAUUAAAGUUGUUGCAGUUAAAAAGCUCGUAGUUGAACCUUGGGCCUGGCUGGCCGGUCCGCCUCACCGCGUGCACUGGUCCGGCCGGGCCUUUCCUCCUGGGGAGCCGCAUGUCCUUCACUGGGUGUGUCGGGGAACCAGGACUUUUACUUUGAAAAAAUUAGAGUGUUCAAAGCAGGCCUAUGCUCGAAUACAUUAGCAUGGAAUAAUAGAAUAGGACGUGUGGUUCUAUUUUGUUGGUUUCUAGGACCGCCGUAAUGAUUAAUAGGGACAGUUGGGGGCAUCAGUAUUUAAUUGUCAGAGGUGAAAUUCUUGGAUUUAUUAAAGACUAACUACUGCGAAAGCAUUUGCCAAAGAUGUUUUCAUUAAUCAGUGAACGAAAGUUAGGGGAUCGAAGACGAUUUUAGUGUAGUAUCUGGUCGUCCAAAGCAUAGCAUAUGCUAGUCUGAGCUUUCAGGCAACACCGUCAAAUUGUCGGGGACCUCCUAAAGGCUUUACCACACCCUGCCUCCAGAAA
rnacentral:rRNA from 1 species